rnacentral:lncRNA from 1 species
GUACUUGCAGGGUUUUUCAUUGAGCAUUUUAUACUGAAUAUAGCCCCUGAAACAUGUGCACUGAAUCAGGUUGUACAUGAUCUGAAAAUUGAAGGAUAACUUAGUACACCUACAAGUUAAUUGGAAGCUAGAUAGAAGGUAGGGCACUCUCUUUUCUCUCAGACCUACAAGUGAAUUGGAAGCUAGCUAAAGUGCGCAUGCUAACUGAAUGGUGACUUUUGAUAUGCGAACUACUAAUCUUAGGUACAUCUGUAUCUUCCUCUCGCCUAUACAUUAGGAGCCAAGCAUUAGCAGUAACCAAAGCACGAGAAGCUUGAUGGCUGGCAUCACAAGAGUCACAUCGAUCAAUGUCUGGGUCAGAGAGCACAAGAGAAGAGGAGAGAACAAAACCGAGAGGGUUACUGAACCGGUGGCGAAGAAGAUUAUAGAGACUCACAGAAGCAGCUACAGCGACAGCAGUGAGGCCGAACUUGAGCAGGGUCAUGAUCAUACUUAUGCGCCACGAAAAUAAAGAGUGAGCAACACAUACUACUCAGUAAAUAGCAAGUUAUGUGAUGAAUAUAAUAUCUGUUGAGCCCAUCUACAGAAAAAAUCUGAAGUAAUAAGAAAAACAAGAAUAAACAUACAUGCAUCAUUUAUGUACAAGAAAAUUUUAGCAUGAUUCGUUCUCUGACAGAUAAGUCACAUAAUCAUCGCGUAAGCAUAGGGGAUAAAAAAACGAUAUUGAAAAGAAAAGUAAGAAAUUGACCCAUUAUCCUAAGAUCUGCAAAAGAAAAAUAACGGAGCUAAGGAUGAUUUGAAGUACUGACCUCCUCUAUGACAAGGAAUAGCGCCAAGGUCUGAUGAUUUGAAGCACUGACCUGGUAAUAUUGGAGCAUGCACCAACUCAGUGGUAGAAACUUAGGGACAAUCAUCCGUCAUGCUCAAGCCAUUGCGUCUAUCACCUCCAUGGUUGCC